rnacentral:rRNA from 1 species
GAUCCUGGUUCAGGAUGAACGCUGGCGGCGUGCUUAACACAUGCAAGUCGAGCGAAGCGCUUUGGAAAGAUUCUUCGGAUGAUUUCCUUUGUGACUGAGCGGCGGACGGGUGAAGGUAACGCGUGGGUAACCUGCCUCAUACAGGGGGAUAACAGUUAGAAAUGACUGCUAAUACCGCAUAAGACCACGGUACCGCAUGGUACAGUGGUAAAAACUCCGGUGGUAUGAGAUGGACCCGCGUCUGAUUAGG